rnacentral:rRNA from 1 species
AUUAACGCUAGCGGCAGGCCUAAUACAUGCAAGUCGAACGGGAUUGGGUAGCAAUAUCCAUGAGAGAGUGGCGCACGGGUGGAGUAACGCGUAUGCAACCUACCUCUGACUGGGGAAUAGCUCCGAGAAAUCGGAAAUUAACACCGCAUAAUAUUAGCGGAAGGCAUCUUCUGCUAAUUAAAACUCCGGUGGUCAGAGAUGGGCAUGCGUGACAUUAGCUAGUUGGUGAGGUAACGGCUCACCAAGGCGACGAUGUCUAGGGGGUCUGAGAGGAUGAUCCCCCACACUGGUACUGAGACACGGACCAGACUCCUACGGGAGGGCAGCAGUAAGGAAUAUUGGUCAAUGGACGCAAGUCUGAACCAGCCAUGCCGCGUGAAGGAUGACGGCCCUAUGGGUUGUAAACUUCUUUUGUACGGGAAAAAAACCCUGCUCGUGUAGCGGGGCUGAUGGUACCGUAAGAAUAAGGAUCGGCUAACUCCGUGCCAGCAGCCGCGGUAAUACGGAGGAUCCAAGCGUUAUCCGGAUUUAUUGGGUUUAAAGGGUGCGUAGGUGGGUUAUUAAGUCAGUGGUGAAAGCCUGCAGCUUAACUGCAGAACUGCCAUUGAUACUGAUAAUCUUGAGUACAGUUGAGGUGGGCGGAAUGUGUCAUGUAGCGGUGAAAAUGCUUAGAUAUGACACAGAACACCGAUUGCGAAGGCAGCUCGCUAAACUGACACUGACACUGAGGCACGAAAGCGUGGGGAGCAAACAGGAUUAGAUACCCUGGUAGUCCACGCCCUAAACGAUGAUCACUCGAUGUGUGCGAUAUACAGUACGCGUCUAAGCGAAAGCAUUAAGUGAUCCACCUGGGGAGUACGGUCGCAAGAUUAAAACUCAAAGGAAUUGACGGGGGCCCGCACAAGCGGAGGAGCAUGUGGUUUAAUUCGAUGAUACGCGAGGAACCUACCUGGGCUUGAAAGUUAGUGACGUCCCGAGAAAAUCGGGAUCCCCGCAAGGGCACAAAACUAGGUGCUGCAUGGCUGUCGUCAGCUCGUGCCGUGAGGUGUUGGGUUAAGUCCCGUAACGAGCGCAACCCCUAUCAUUAGUUGCCAUCAGGUAAAGCUGGGGACUCUAAUGAGACUGCCCGCGCAAGCGUGUGAGGAAGGCGGGGAUGACGUCAAGUCAGCACGGCCCUUACGUCCAGGGCUACACACGUGCUACAAUGGCCGGUACAGAAGGAUGCUACCUGGUGACAGGAUGCAAAUCUCGCAAAACCGGUCUCAGUUCGGAUCGAAGUCUGCAACUCGACUUCGUGAAGCUGGAUUCGCUAGUAAUCGCGUAUCAGCAAUGACGCGGUGAAUACGUUCCCGGGCCUUGUACACACCGCCCGUCAAGCCAUGGAAGUUGGGAGUACCUGAAGUCGAUAACCGCAAGGAGUCGCCUAGGGUAAAACCAAUGACUGGGGCU